UUUAUUUCUUUAUAUAUCUAAUCUAUAAACCUACCAAUUUUGACAAGUAAAAAGAGAGGCAGGGGAUCCUCUAACUAGUGGAAGUGUUCAACAGGGGCAAUCUGAGAUCACAUGUUUGGUACUUUUCUUUUUUCUCUGUAAUUGACAAGUGUGGUUCAAUAUCUCAAUAUGUGUUCUCAGGUCGCCCCUGUAGAGCUAUAUUUCACCGAGUAAGAUGGUUUAUCAUGUUUGGUAUAUAAUACAUAUAAAUGAACAAUGACUAUUAUAUACUCGAUCCUAACUUUUAGUGAUGGUGCCAACUUGCUUCAAAGGUUUGACCAAGGUGAGCUUUAAUACUCCACAUAUUAAAAUUUUGUUUUUCUUUUACAUAAUUAGCAAAGAGUAGAAAAAAAAUCUAACUGCAUAGAAGUGAUAAAGAGAUCAACUGAACAGCAGUAGUCAAGAAAUCACUUCUUCUCGUGACACUAUAGUUUGAAUUGUGAUUGUACGCUAGUAACCAACUAUGGCAUAUAGCUGCAAUAAAAAAAGGCAGUCCGAUGCACAACGCCUCUCGUAUUCAUGCAAAGUCCGAGUAAGGGCAGUACCCUAAAGGGUGUGAUGUAAAGAAAACGAAAUAAUGUAAUGAGGCUCAUUUAUGCAGAAUGUUAGUAACAGAUUUCAGAAAUUAUACAAUUAUUAGUUCUAUAUAAUUUAAGAUUUUUUCAUGAUUUCACUAGCUCAAUAAAGUAAGGAGGUGUGUUUUCAUAUAUACUAUUACUUUGGAAACAUGAGAUAACUCUAUAGGAGGGGAAUCAAAUAGCCAUUUCAAGACUAUUACAAAAGGAAGCUGUACUUAGGACAUUGGAGAUCAAGGUCCAAUGCAACAAAAUGCCAACAUCUUCUUUUUCCUCUGCACCCAACAAAAGAAAAAUAGGUAAGAUAGCACGGGAGUUUAGAGGCGGAUCCAGGAUUUUAUAUUAAUAGUUGCACAUGAAUACGAAAUUCGUUUGUGUAUGUAUAUAUGAAUUUUUUUCAAAUAUAUGUAUAUAUGUUAGAGUUUGAGUAUGUCUACACCAGAUGUCAGAAAGCUACAUUUUCCCCCUAUUGAUACAUACUUUGGCAAGUAGGCAUUUGGUGUAUCAGAAAAAUACAUAUUAUGCACUUCGGUAAGUUUCUUAUUAAGAGUCUUAUAAUGCUUGAUUGGUAAACAGAGACGGAUUCAGGAUUUUACAUCAUUGGAAUCAUAUUCUUUUGUGAUCAUGAGCACAAACUUUGGGUGGGUAUGCAUGCCUAGUAGAUAGGCAUCCGUGUCCCCUUUUCAUGCCGGUAGCAUUAAUAAUAGCAUCGUUUGGUAGUUUCCUAUCCGCAGAUUUCUUUUGCUAUAUAUUAUUUCUUUCGCUUUGAUUAUUCUAUCACCUUAUCUCUUUAUCUUGUUGUUUCUGCCUUUUUUAAUUUUUUCUUGAGUCGAGAUUUAUCGGAAACGGUCUUUUUACCUUCACAAAGGUCGGGGUAAGGUCUGCGUACAUUUUACCCUCCCCAGACCCUACUUUGUGGGAUUAUACUGUUGUUGUAUAUGUAUAUAUUUUAGAGUUGAAGGUAGCAAUUGCGCCUGCACCAGAUGCCACAGAGCUACAUUUUCCCUAUUGAUAGUAUAUCUCAACAAGCCAUAUUAUUCACUUAGACAUUUAAUUUAUAUCCACUAAUAGUAUAAGAAUUUAUACACGACCAUUGUAGUUUAACAAAGAAAAGUAGGUUAGUUACCAUUUUUAUCAAGUUACUGAUUAAAGUUUAUCAUAGAGAUUUAUCUAUAAUUACCUUAUAGUAGGUGAUUUGAUUGUGUAAAUAUUUUGUGCACCAUCAUCAUUGGAUAGAACUUGAACUCUUACACACUUUGGUUGUGUACUUAUGUUACUAAAAGGUAUGUUUCUAAAAGUCUUAUACUGCAUAAAGUGAAGAUCAUUUUACCAAUGUAAAAAUGUGCUUCUGAGUUUAGUAAAUAAGUCUUACCAUGCAAGAAUCUUCAUGUUGCUUCCUAAGAGCUUCCUGCUCAUGAUCGAUGCUAGGUGGUCGCGCUAAAAGAUCAUUGUUUUUGUGUUGCUUUCUGUUGACGCGAGCUUUAGAAAAUUCGACAGUAUAACUGGCAGCACCUCCAGUUUGUUGAUCCCACAUUCCAAAUUGAGGUACAGACCUGUAUCCAUUUUUCUGCAGUUUCAACAGAUUUGGAAAACCAUUUAGUUAGAAACUCAGAGAUAGAGAUCAAUACAUCUUUUGUAAAAUUCAUUAUGUGACAUGAAUGAUGAUUAUGGAAAUCUUUACUAAUACAAUAUAUAUUGCAUGAUUAAACCAUAAAAAGAUGAUAAACCACCAGCAUUUGUUUGAGAAACUGCUGAGGAGGAAAUAAGUUCAGAUAGGGAAUUUGACUUCUAGUUACAUUAAUUGUCAUUUGUCAAUUUUGGAUGUUGUGAGGUUCUCAUUGUGCAGGGCCAUAUGUGGUCACAAUCAGGGGUGGAUUUUGGGGGCGGAAGGGGGUUCUCCGAAAAAUUACACUAUAUAUAUACGGCAAAGUCCGAUUUGUACCUCUAUAUUUAAUAUUUUAAAUCCCUUUGACAUAGCCCAAAAGCAUAGCUCAGGAGUCAAGGUGGUUCAAAACCUUUGUAAAGUCAUUAGUUCAAUUCCCACUUGCCACGAUCUCUUUUAAUAUUUUAACUUUUUCUUUCUUUUGAUCUCCUUAGCGGAAAUUCUGCUUCCACCACUAGUCAGAACAAAACCAGGUAAUGAAUUAGCAGCUGCAAAGUGAAGGAUUCUAACAAAGGCACUCAAAAGAAUGUUUGCUUCAUCUGAUAUUUGGGAAUAGUAGCAUAGUUGUUUAAUAGUCGUCCCUUCUUUUAAUAUAUUACAAUAUAGUUGUGCUUUGUCGUUCAGUCCCUUGCUUCUUCCCUCCUUCUCCUCAUCUCAAUGUAGGAAGCAUACACACUGCUCCCCUGCUAUCCGUGGAAUUAGUUGAGAUACGUGCAAACUGGCCCAGACACCACAGUUAUCAAAGAAAAAAGGUGUCCCAGAACGAGGUAAUUCAAUUCUUUGAUUUGUGGCGGAGAGUUUUAGAAGACUCGGUUAUUAAAGAUCUAACUGAAGUAAUUCUUGAGCCACCUUUAUCGCUAUGUUGCUACAAUCCUGUGCUAAGGAUAUUCAACAAUUUACAUAACUUUUCUUUUACCUAUACGCGCAAGAUAGUCAUUCGACAAAAGGGAUUCAAUUGAAACCUUUAAAACCAUGCAGCUGUACACUAAUACUAUAUCACUACAGGAAAAUGUGCAGCCAAGAAUCUCAUAAUGCACCAGAAUGAAAAUACUUUUAGUUACCAUAUGUCAAUGAAUAUGUCAUUCAAAUUAAGUAUUCUUACCAUAUUGCUAGGGUCCUCUUGUUUCUUGCCAGGAAAUUCCUGAUCAUUUGUCAACCCGUGGCGUGCGCCUAACCCAUUUUUAUGCUGCUGCUGCUGAUCAUUUGCCAAUCCGUGGCGUGCACCUAAACCAUUUUUAUGCUGCUGGUGUUGCUGAUGCUGCUGCUUGUUGGCGCGAGCUUGGGAAAAUUCCAUUGUAUAACCAGAAUUGGCCCCUGCUGCAGCCUUGUUAUCCCAUGCUCCAAAUUGAGGGACAUAAGUUGGACCAUUUUUCUACAGAAUAUAUGAAUAAACAUUUGGUCAGCAAAUAUAUAUGAAGUAGCUAGGUCUAUUAUCUUUGGUGAAAUACAUAGAUGAAAGCAGGGGCGGAUACACUAGCGGGGCUACGAGUUCGGUCAAACCCAGUAGCUUUGCUCAAAUAUUGUAUUUGUAUUAAAAAUUUGACUAAAUAUAUACAAAUAUUAAAUUUAGAAUCCAGUCAUUAAUACUCGUUUAAAAAUC
rnacentral:lncRNA from 1 species